GCCAGUGUAGCUUAAUGUUGGUUUUAGCAUCCGUCUUGUAAGCGGAAUAACGAGGGUUCGAUUCCCUUAGGUCGCUCCA
rnacentral:tRNA from 1 species